rnacentral:misc_RNA from 1 species
GCUAGCUGCUGAAACAGAAUGCUUUUUGUUAAAGCAAGAAAAGGGGGUUGAAAAAGUUCGAGUGUGGGAGGUGGGUAUGUUUCAAUUAAUGGAGAGAGUAAUGGGUCAGAGGAUUUGAGGUAAUUAAUGGCGGAUUCGAGCUCACCUUCGUAUGAAAGUGAACGAGAAACAAUUCUUGGUACGAUGGUGGAAAUCUGGGUUUUGGGUAAACAGGGAUCAACAGUAUUGGAAAGCUUCCGAGUUUUUCUGGGUCGAGAAGGUAGCUUGGUGGGUGGUGAAUGAGUUUGAAGAGGUACAAUAUUAAUGGCGUCGGCAGAAGGGGGAUUUGAUGGGGUGAGGGUGUUAGGGUUAGGUUCAGCAGCAGAUUCUGAUUCUCCAGCCAUUGAUGAAGGAAAGAGAACUGCAAAUGGUGAUCAAUUGAGGGAUUCAACACAGGGGAAGUCGUUAAUGAAGAUUUACAAGAUUGAAGGUCGUUAAUGGAGAUU